rnacentral:rRNA from 1 species
UAGGGAAUCUUCGGCAAUGGACGAAAGUCUGACCGAGCAACGCCGCGUGAGUGAAGAAGGUUUUCGGAUCGUAAAACUCUGUUGUUAGAGAAGAACAAGGACGUUAGUAACUGAACGUCCCCUGACGGUAUCUAACCAGAAAGCCACGGCUAACUACGUGCCAGCAGCCGCGGUAAUACGAAGGUGGCAAGCGUUGUCCGGAUUUAUUGGGCGUAAAGCGAGCGCAGGCGGUUUCUUAAGUCUGAUGUGAAAGCCCCCGGCUCAACCGGGGAUGGUCCUUGGAAUCUGCGAGACUUGAGUGCAGACGAGGUGUGUGGAAUUCCAUGUGUCACUGUGACAUGCGUAUAUAUAUGGAGGAACACCAGUGGCAAUGAAGGCUCUCUGGUCUGUAACUAACGCUGAGGCUAGAAAGCGUGGGGAGCAUACAGG